AAACCAAGCCUCAAGGAAGUUGAGUCUCCUGUCCAAGCCUACGCAGUUGGCAAGUUGCAGAUCUGGAGUAGAGUACGAGACUCUCUCAUCUGUGUCUCCAAGGGACACCGUGACCCAUCAUGGCCUCUUUCCGCUGGGUUCAGGCAUAGUCUCCGAAUUCUUCCUGUGUCAUCAUCACCCAUGCCUCCGCAUCAACCCCACCUUUGCAGGUAGCAGGUGCUAUCUACUGCCAGCCUGAAGCCAGGCUAAGAGGAAGAAAAAGAAGGAAAUGCCUGUAGAACCAUCCUAUGUAAAGAACACUUUGAGGAAAUGGUAGGCAAAUGCAGAAAACUGCAUCCUGCUCAGUCAAGCCCUGCAGGAAACACACACACAAGCAUGUGCACAUACACGUGGCCCUUCAAUGUCACCUCAGCUGUGGGUUAGGAGCUGUACCUGUCCGCACCAGGUGUUACAACCUUCUGCUCCAUCUCUAAACAGCUGACGGCUUGGAGGUGAGCUCUCAAAUGUCAACAGGUUUUGCAGACUCCAGUGGUCAGCGUUAUGUGAGCAGUUCAGACUUUCUACAGGGAUCUCAGGGGCCCAGGGUCACGUAGACCAGAACUUGACCUGGAGGCUGGUGUCUCCCAAACUGUUGUGUGGACCCUGCAACAGCUGGAGUGUCCUCAUCUUAACAGUCCCUGCCAUCUCCCAACAAGGGUGUCCACUGGCCCUCCUGGUGGUCCUGUGAGGAAGGCAGGAGUCACUGAUGCUGCUCUGUCAACAGGGACAGACGGAUUACAGCUGGUAAGUGACUUGCCCAGAGUUCUGCAGCUUGGGACUCACAGAGGAGAAGCUGGAAAUCAGGCAGGGCGGCAUCCAGCUCUCUGCUCCUCCUAAGCCAAGCUUCGCAGCAAGGUCCUGCUUCCCUCAUGACAUGAACUCAUUUUGAAUGUAAAGGCAAUGUCAAAGCCCUACAGCUAUUUAUAACAGAGUAUGUGUUUCUUAGUUCACUCCUCAGAGAGGAAUAUUGCUAUUGUGAAUACACAGCUACUCAUAACCACCAUCUUAAAAAUCUCUACUCCAAACUAUUUACUAAUGCAUUUAAGUAUUUAUUUUCUUGUAGUGAAAGGAAAUCAAGAUAAUUCUAAAACUGUGGAAGAAAACAAACAAACAAAAAAACUAUAAAGGAGAAAACAGAAGAUUCACAUAUUGUAACCAUUAUUAAUCUCAAAAUAUUUUCCUCCAGGCUCUUGCCUGUGACAAGCUUAUGCUGAGUGAUACUGUGCUGUGUAUAUGCGGUUUGUACUCAAUGCCAGGUCAUAAGCAUACCAUUUCCUUUUUAUUAAAAAAAUACUUGGCAUACAUCAAAGUAUGUUUGCAUUAAAACUAUGCAAACAUCAGUUUUAAUAAUUGUAUAAAUAUUCCAUCGUAAGGACAUUCCAUAAUUUAUUUAAUCACUUUGGUAGUGCUGGACAUUUAAUUUUUUAAAAAGUCAAGUAAUGCCAUGAUUAAUGCCUGCUUAUAUGAACCUGUUUUCAUUUCCUGAUUAUUUUCUUGGGCCAGAUUCCCAAAAGUGGAAUUACUGAAUAAAGUAGAUAAGUGUUUGUAACGCAUUUCUUCACACACACACACACACACACACACACACCCAUCAACAAAUUGCUUUUCCUGAAGAAGCUUCCAGUAGCGUAUUAGAGAGCCUGUUGCACCACCCCAUCCUCAGCAAUGAGAAUUUCUAAUCUUUGUUACAUUAA